rnacentral:rRNA from 1 species
GCAUUCGUACUCGGACGGGAGAGGUGAAAUUCAAGGAUCGUCCGAAGACGCCCUACUGCGAAAGCAUUUGCCAAGAAUGUUUUCAUUAAUCAAGAACGAAAGUCAGAGGUGCGAAGGCGAUCAGAUACCGCCGUAGUUCUGACCGUAAACGAUGCCGACUGGCAAUUGGGCGCACUUCUAUAGAAGUUGCUGCCAGCAGUAUUGCCCGGGAAACCAAAGUCAUUGGGUUCCGGGGGGAGUAUGGUUGCAAAGCUGAAACUUAAAGGAAUUGACGGAAGGGCACCACCAGGAGUGGAGCCUGCGGCUUAAUUUGACUCAACACGGGAAACCUCACCCGGCCCGAACACUGUUAUGACAGACAGGUUGAGAGCUCUUUCUCGAUUCAGUGGUUGGUGGUGCAUGGCCGUUCUUAGUUCGUGGAGCGAUCUGUCUGGUUAAUUCCGAUAACGAACGAGACUCUUGCCUGCUAAAUAGACGGCGCCGACGUGAUCGGCGACCGUUUGCUUCUUAGAGGGACAAGCGGCUUUUAGCCGCGUGAAGCCGAGAGCAAUAACAGGUCAGUGAUGCCCUCAGAUGUUCGGGGCCGCACGCGCGCUACACUGUUUGCAUCAGCGUGUUUCUCCCGCGCCGGCUGGCGUGGGCAACCCGUUGAACCGCAAACGUGCUAGGGAUCGGAGAUUGCAAUUGUUCUCCGUGAACGAGGAAUUCCUUGUACUGGCGAGUCAUCAGCUCGCGGGGAAUCUGUCCCUGCCCUUUGUACACACCGCCCGUCGCUACUACCGAUUGAGUGGUUUAGUGAGGCUCACGGACUGCGCGCGGCACACGGUGCUCUCGGGUGCUGCGUCGCGAUGCGGAAAGUGAGACGAACUUGAUCACUU